CCUGAGGUCGGAUGUUCAACUCAUCCUGGUCCCAAUGUAUUCCAUUGUUUUAAUUACGACAAUACUGUUUUAAGCUAUAAUUAAUAAGAAAAACAAAAAUUUAUUCAAUUUCUAUAUUAAGGUAUACACGAUUACUAACAAUUACAACUUCAUGCCAUUGAGUGUCGGGCAAAUCCAAACUGAAAUCUGCUUUAUGGUAUUUUGCUUGGCUUUUUUGAGUUAUUGUUGCAAACUUGUAACCUAAAACAUAAGAGCGAUAACGAUUUAAUGCAAUCUUUGCCUUCCUCCAACUUAUAACUGGCAAUCUUAUCCGAAUCCCUACCACUAAAUACUGGCAACGAUAAUAAGGAUUUAAGCUCGCUACAAUACUUGUCCUUCUCUCAGACAUCACACUUAGUAAUCUACAUUAUUUCCUAACUAAAAACUAUUUACUAAAUGCAGAUCGUUUAUAAAAUAGGCUGCUGAAAAAUACAAUCCUGUUUAAUCCUUGCACUUUAGCGAAACAACUUCGGGUUUUAUCGAAAGCUUGCUUUUGCUUCUAGACAUUUUUCUUAAUAUCAACAGAUCUCAACUUAACCCAGAAAUUUUAACUUCUUGUGUUUCACAUUCCAACAAUUACUUUAACAAAGUUACUUAAAAACAUACUUAAUUACAAUUUAGGGCAUAAGCCCAAUGGAGGUUAAGGGACUCGAACCCUUGACCCUCGGCUUGC
rnacentral:misc_RNA from 1 species